AUUGAACGCUGGCGGCAGGCUUAACACAUGCAAGUCGAGCGGAGUUGUGGUGCUUGCACCAUAACUUAGCGGCGGACGGGUGAGUAAUGCUUAGGAAUCUGCCUAUUAGUGGGGGACAACAUCUCGAAAGGGAUGCUAAUACCGCAUACGUCCUACGGGAGAAAGCAGGGGACCUUCGGGCCUUGCGCUAAUAGAUGAGCCUAAGUCGGAUUAGCUAGUUGGUGGGGUAAAGGCCUACCAAGGCGACGAUCGGUAGCGGGUCUGCGAGGAUGAUCCGCCACAAUGGGACUGAGACACGGCCCAGACUCCUACGGGAGGCAGCAGUGGGGAAUAUUGGACAAUGGGGGGAACCCUGAUCCAGCCAUGCCGCGUGUGUGAAGAAGGCCUUUUGGUUGUAAAGCACUUUAAGCGAGGAGGAGGCUACUGGUAUUAAUACUACUGGAUAGUGGACGUUACUCGCAGAAUAAGCACCGGCUAACUCUGUGCCAGCAGCCGCGGUAAGAC
rnacentral:rRNA from 1 species